UUUCCCUGGCAAUGGGCAGAGGGACCCCUUGUUGGUGGUGCUCUUAUACCAGUCAGGGGCAGAGCACACAACAUUCCUUUGUUCAUCCUGGCUUGAUGCCUGGCUUGGUGGCCAGAUCUGUCAUCAUAUGCCUAGGACCCAUAA